GGGCUACAAAAUAUGGCCCCAGAUUGUUUCCUGCCAGUUCCAGGUGUCUGUUCCUGUGGAGGAGGAAGCCAAUGGUGGGGGAUCUGCCUUUGUACAACCUGUGCCAGCUCAGGGCAGCCUGGUACAAUCCCUAGCCCCUUAAACAAUGCCUGCCACAGCAGAGGCACAUCAUGGAUGAUUUAAAUAAAAAUUAUUAUGACUGUGCAUUGCACAUUACUCUGUGCCAGAUGUUUUACAUUCAUUUUCUCAUUUAAUCCUUAUGAUAAUUCUAUGGCCCCCAUAUUACAGAUGAGAAAAGCUUGGCUCAGAUAUUAAGUGCCUCACCCAGAAUGGGCAUGUUGGAGCUGGAAGUUGAAUCAGGGCUGUCUUUCUGUGUCUGGGCCAUUACCCUGAUGAUAAGCUGGCAGCAGGGCCAUCGUGUGAUGUAGAAAUGGGUUAUAGAGAAAGAUGAUACGAGUAAAUGAUCUCUUCCAAUUCAUUCUUUUUCUUUUCUUUUUUUUUUUUUUAAAUCAUGGAGGAAUAUUUCUUGCCAGAUUUAUUUUUGAAAUUAUUCCAGUUAUAAUUUCUUUUAAGAUAUUUCUUUUUAAAAGCCCUUUAAAAAAACACAAAAUGUAAUUCCUAUAAUGAUAGCUUGAAAUAGAAACAGCCAUCAAUCACAUGAUGACUAUUUAGAAAAACCUCUGUUC
rnacentral:lncRNA from 1 species